GCCAGUACCCAACCGCCAGAGCUCCCCGGACGUGCAGACCCCCGCGGUCCUGCUGUUAUAGCCUCCACACGCCCCCCCACCCCACAGCCUGCGUUCAACAUUCCAGAAGCGUCUGCUCCCGCCGUCUCCUGGUGUCACGCACCCUGUCUUGGAAAGCCUCACCCCCUCAGUCACACGCUGUAUCUCACCCCAUGACGCCUUGCGGUUUCGAGUCUGGAUACCAUCCUUCCGCAUGGUCAGUGGUCGGUUCACCUGCCAAGAGGGAGGCCACAGGAACAACAGUGACGGCAACCGGUGUUUCAUGCUGACACAGACCCCAGGCCAAGCCUGUCCUGAGCACUUGCUCCGUGUAAAUUCAAUGGACACACGCGCCCACACGAGGCAUCCAACUCGGGUCCCCACAGAGCAGGGGUAAGAGCACCCAGUGGUGGCCCCAGGACUCCACAGGACGGAGCACCCUCCUGACCACCCAUUCUACAGAUGGGGAGACUGAGACCUGCCAAGGGCACA